AUGUGGAUUAAGUAUCUGCCAUGUAUCAAGAACUCUAUCCUCCUGGGAAUGCUCACGGCCGCCUGGGAGGUGGCCUCCCAUUCCACUGCCGAGGAAACGGACUCAGAGAGGCGGGGUGACUCGCUCUCCAAGUCCGCCCCCCCACACCCCCGCCACAGCAGGAAGCGGCAGAGUUGGCAAGUCCUGUUUGCGCGCCCGGUCCUGGAAUGUGGGUCUGCACAGAGAUCCCAGGCCACGGGCAGGGCCUUCCGGAGCCUCGUCUGCCCCCACAUCCCCACCCCUGGGAAGGCCCGUGAGCUGCGAGAGAGAAGGCCAUGUAAGAAUACAGCGAGAAGGUUCUGUCUGCCGGCCAAGGAGAUAUGCCUCACAACCUGCCAUCUUGGUCUGGGACUUCCAGCCUCCAGAACUAUAAGAAAAUACAUUUCUGCAGUUCGGCCAUCCA